rnacentral:lncRNA from 1 species
GUGUGUGUGUGUGUGUCCCCUCAUUUUAUUGGAUCAUUUCGAUCAGCGUUGCUCUAAUCGCUUAACAAUACAGUAAAAUGCUUUCGUGCCAUGCUUUAAACUAAUUUUAUUAUUUGUAUUUUCAAAAUUGAGUUGAAACCAUCUAAAAGAAUUAGCUUUUUCUUUUUUUCACUCUUUAUUUUAUUAAGUGGUUUAUACAAUUAAUUACGUACGUUAUUUCUCCUAAUACAUGCUCUAACUUCAUUUUGAAAAUGACAAAAAACCAUUUAUUUCAGGGGCAGUAUGGGCUGCAACUAGUAGUUGGGCUAUUGUGAAAGCCGGAUAAUUAUUUGUGGGCCAUAGGUGACUAUUUUUGAUGGAAGUGGUUAUCAUGAAGUUUAAUUUUGAGUAAGUUGGUCAAUUGACCAAUAAAGUACUGACACACAUGCGAGGUUCUAUGUGUGUCAGCAUUUUAUUGGUCAAUUGACCAAUAUACUCAAAAAUAAACUUCGUGCUAACCGGAUCUAACCGGAUCCAUUUUUGAUUGCUGCCCCGGUGUUUGAUACAUAUAUGCAUAAACCCAC